AAGUCAUCAACAACAAAGUUG
rnacentral:miRNA from 1 species